AUAGAUACCCCGGUAGUCCUGGCCGUAAACGAUGGGCACUGGGUAGGGGGCUCGCCGAUGGGCUCCCUGCCGCAGGGAAACCGUGAAGUGCCCCGCCUGGGGAGUAUGGUCGCAAGGCUGAAAACUCAAAGGAAUUGACGGGGGCUCACACAAGCGGUGGAGUAUGUGGCUUAAUUCGAGGCUACGCGCAAAACCUUAUCCCAGGCUUGACAUGCACGGAUUAGCCGGCGGAAACGUCGGUGAGGCCGCAAGGUACAACGUGCACAGGUGCUGCAUGGCUGUCGUCAGCUCGUGCCGUGAGGUGUUGGGUUAAGUCCCGUAACGAGCGAAACCCCUGUGUCUAGUUGCCAGCGCGUCAUGGCGGGAACUCUAGGACAGACCGCCGGCGUUAAAGCCGGAGGAAGGCGGGGAUGACGUCAAGUCCUCAUGGCCCUUAUGCCUGGGGCUGCACACGUACUACGAAUGGAGCGGACAGAGCGUCGCAAGAUCGCAAGGUCAAGCUAAUCGCAGAAACCGCUCCCCGAGUUCGGAUU
rnacentral:rRNA from 1 species